rnacentral:rRNA from 1 species
CCAGUAGACGACUGGGUUGAUAGGCCAGAUGUGGAAGCCCGGUAACGGGUGGAGCUGACUGGUACUAAUAGGCCGAGGGCUUGUCCUCAGUUG